UGGAAGGGCCAUCGCUCAACGGAUAAAAGGUACUCCGGGGAUAACAGGCUGAUACCGCCCAAGAGUUCAUAUCGACGGCGGUGUUUGGCACCUCGAUGUCGGCUCAUCACAUCCUGGGGCUGAAGUAGGUCCCAAGGGUAUGGCUGUUCGCCAUUUAAAGUGGUACGCGAGCUGGGUUUAGAACGUCGUGAGACAGUUCGGUCCCUAUCUGCCGUGGGCGCUGGAGAACUGAGGGGGGCUGCUCCUAGUACGAGAGGACCGGAGUGGACGCAUCACUGGUGUUCGGGUUGUCAUGCCAAUGGCACUGCCCGGUAGCUAAAU
rnacentral:rRNA from 1 species